GGCACUUUGGCGGAGUGGUUAACGCGCUGGCCUGCUAUCCUUCUCUUCGAGGAAGCAGCUAAGCCAGUUCCUUCGGGAGCGUGAGUUCGAAUCUCACAGGUGUCG